UACGUAGGGUGCAAGCGUUAAUCGGAAUUACUGGGCGUAAAGCGUGCGCAGGCGGUUGUGCAAGACCGAUGUGAAAUCCCCGGGCUAAACCUGGGAAUGGCAUUGGUGACUGCACGGCUAGAGUGUGUCAGAGGGGGGUAGAAUUCCACGUGUAGCAGUGAAAUGCGUAGAGAUGUGGAGGAACACCGAUGGCGAAGGCAGCCCCCUGGGCUAACACUGACGCUCAGGCACGAAAGCGUGGGGAGCAAACAGG
rnacentral:rRNA from 1 species